AUUGAACGCUGGCGGAAUGCUUUACACAUGCAAGUCGAACGGCAGCACGGACUUCGGUCUGGUGGCGAGUGGCGAACGGGUGAGUAAUGUAUCGGAACGUGCCCAGUCGUGGGGGAUAACGUAGUGAAAAUUACGCUAAUACCGCAUACGAUCUAUGGGUGAAAGCGGGGGAUCGCAAGACCUCGCGCGAUUGGAGCGGCCGAUAUAGGAUUAGGUAGUUGGUGGGGUAAAGGCCCACCAAGCCAACGAUCUGUAGCUGGUCUGAGAGGACGACCAGCCACACUGGAACUGAGACACGGUCCAGACUCCUACGGGAGGCAGCAGUGGGGAAUUUUGGACAAUGGGCGAAAGCCUGAUCCAGCCAUUCCGCGUGCAGGAUGAAGGCCCUCGGGUUGUAAACUGCUUUUGUACAGAACGAAAAGGUUUCUACUAAUACUAGGAGCUCAUGACGGUACUGUAAGAAUAAGCACCGGCUAACUACGUGCCAGCAGCCGCAGUAA
rnacentral:rRNA from 1 species